CCUAUAACUCAGUGGAUUAGAGUGUUUGGCUUCGAACCAAAAAGUCGGGAGUUCGAAUCUCUCUAGGU
rnacentral:tRNA from 1 species